rnacentral:rRNA from 1 species
GACAGAGGGGGCAAGCGUUGCUCGGAAUCACUGGGCGUAAAGGGCGCGUAGGCGGGAUGGCAAGUCGGUCGUGAAAUCCUUCGGCUCAACCGAAGAACGUCGGCCGAUACUGCCGUUCUUGAGGGAUGCAGAGGAGAUUGAAUUCCCGGUGUAGCGGUGAAAUGUGUAGAGAUCGGGAGGAACACCGGUGGCGAAGGCGGGUCACUGGGCUCUCCGUGACGCUGAGGC